rnacentral:ncRNA from 1 species
GUGCUCACGCAGGGGUACUUGCCUGUGGGUUUCGCACCCACGGUGCAGGUUGAGAGAGUCCCUUUGCACCAGUCCGGAUAAUGCCGACGCUGGGAGCGCGUACCAGCACGCA